UACGUAGGUGGCAAGCGUUGUCCGGAUUUACUGGGCGUAAAGAGCGCGCAGGCGGUCGGUCAAGUCGCGUGUGAAAGCCCCCGGCUCAACUGGGGAGGGUCACGCGAUACUGAUCGACUCGAAGGCAGGAGAGGGGAGUGGAAUUCCCGGUGUAGCGGUGAAAUGCGUAGAUAUCUGGAGGAACACCGGUGGCGAAGGCGGCAUCCUGGACCGACACUGACGCUGAGGCGCGAAAGCUAGGGUAGCAAACGGG
rnacentral:rRNA from 1 species